AUUUUGUCGGCUAAUAAAGUUUUAGCCGACGAAUAACCUAAUAUUUCGUCGGCUUUAGUUAUUUUUUAAUUUUUUAAUUACAUACUAUAGCCGACGAAUACGUUAGGGUAUUCGUCGGCUAAAUUCUAAAAUUUUUCUAUUACCUACUAUAGCCCUAUCUUCGGUUGUUAUUUUCCGUAAAAUUUUUAGACGACUUCUUGCGUCUCAUCGGUUUGAAACUAUUUUCAGUUGGAGGUCCGGCCAAAAUACGUAAUUUAGACGGUCGAACGACCUUUUCCGUGCGUUUAGGGGUUUGACUUACGAGAUUGACCGUCUGGAUUGAGCCCCUAUUCUUGUCGGAUCAAGUUGAAUUUUUUCCCAUACAUGUAUUUUGUCAUGAUGGUCAGAAUUGACGGUCGGAUUUAUUUUUCUCAAGUUUGAUCAUCACAAUCACAACAUGCAUACUAAUGUUGUAUAACUUGUUUACCAAGGGUUAUGUAAAUGUUCCGUUUCAAAAACAAACUAUACGUAAAACCUUCAAACGCCAAAAAGUCAUGAAAUAAGAUAUGACGACAAUGUUGAAAUACAUCCACGGUUGAAAAAUCACACUAUUCCGGUAAAUAUUCGGUGCCGAUAGUUGCGGUCAAUGCAAUUUUUCAUUCUUUCCCCCUAUGAGUAGCCCUAUAUUCGGUGGUUAUUUUGCGUAAAAUUUUUAUACGACUUGUUGCGUGUCAUCGAUUUAAAACUAUUUUCAGUUGGAGGUCCGUCCAAAAUACGUAAUUUAGACGGUCGAACGACCUUUUCCGUGUGUUUAGGGGUUUGACUUACGAGAUUGACCGUCCGGAUCGAGCUCUUAUUCUUGUCGGAUCAAGUUGAAUUUUUUCCCAUACAUGUAUUUUAUCAUGAUGGUCAGAUCUGACGGUCGGAUUUAUUUUUCUCAAGUUUGAUCAUCACAAUCACAAUGUGUCAAAUGUAUAAAAAUAUUUUUAGCCGACGAAUUUCAAAGGUUAGCCGACGCAUUUCGAAGGUUUAGCCGACGAAUUUAUAAAGUUUAGCCGACGAAUUUCAAAGUUUUAGCCGACGAAUUUAGAAGGUUUAGCCGACUAAUUGAUGUAUAGCCGACGAAAUUCGUAUAUUUAGCCGACGAAAUAAUUAUUUCGUCGGCUAAAGUUUUCGGGUUUAACUGCUCGACAGCAGAAAAACCCUAGCCUCCUCCCUCCCUCUCCCGUCUCCNNNNN
rnacentral:lncRNA from 1 species